rnacentral:rRNA from 1 species
GACGAACGCUGGCGGCGUGCUUAACACAUGCAAGUCGUACGGUAAGGCCCUUUCGGGGGUACACGAGUGGCGCACGGGUGAGUAACACGUGAGUAACCUGCCCACAACUUUGGGAUAACGCUAGGAAACUGGUGCUAAUACUGGAUAUGUGCCCCUGCUGCAUGGUGGGGGUUGGAAAGCUCCGGCGGUUGUGGAUGGACUCACGGCCUAUCAGCUUGUUGGUGGGGUAGUGGCCUACCAAGGCGGCGACGGGUAGCCGGCCUGAGAGGGUGACCGGCCACAUUGGGACUGAGAUACGGCCCAGACUCCUACGGGAGGCAGCAGUGGGGAAUAUUGCACAAUGGGCGCAAGCCUGAUGCAGCAACGCCGCGUGCGGGAUGACGGCCUUCGGGUUGUAAACCGCUUUCAGCAGGGACGAAGCUUUUUGUGACGGUACCUGCAGAAGAAGCACCGGCUAACUACGUG